rnacentral:rRNA from 1 species
UACGGAGGAUCCGAGCGUUACCCGGAUUUAUUGGGUUUAAAGGGUGCGUAGGCGGUUUGAUAAGUUAGAGGUGAAAUGUCGGGGCUCAACCCCGAAACUGCCUCUAAUACUGUUGGACUAGAGAAUAGUUGCGGUAGGCGGAAUGUAUGGUGUAGCGGUGAAAUGCUUAGAGAUCAUACAGAACACCGAUUGCGAAGGCAGCUUACCAAACUAUAUCUGACGUCGAGGCACGAAAGCGUGGGUAGCAAACAGG